rnacentral:snoRNA from 1 species
CUUCGGUGAUGAUAAGAUGACGAGUCAGAAGCGGGUGGCUCUUGUUGCGGUACCUCUGCAGUGUCAUGUUCUGUGAUGCUGCGUGUGGUUCUUUCACUGAAUGAUUUAGAGGCAUUUGUCUGAGAAGG